UGUGUCCGUAGCUCAGCUGGAUAGAGCAACGGCCUUCUAAGCCGUGGGUCGGGGGUUCGAAUCCCUUCGGGCACAG
rnacentral:tRNA from 1 species